rnacentral:lncRNA from 1 species
AGAGAUUAAGGCGCUUCAGAAUUGUUUAGAGACCAGACCAUCCACAGGGAAACAAGGUCAGUUUCUGUUUCCCAGAAGCAUGCCACAAGCCUUUACACUGUGAUUUGCUGAUGCUCUUUGUCGAAGGGAUAAUAGCAUAGAAACUGGAGGACCAAGCAUUUAAAAAGGGAGCCAUGAUACAGGAUUUUGUGGCCAGAAUGACCGCACCUCGCCUGUUUCACAGAUGGGGUUCCAGGAAGGGAGGCAACUCUCUGAGGGAUAGAAGCUCUUUUUGGUGGCCCAGCAAAGGUUAAAACAAACCAAUGGAUGAUCUGAAAUUGGAGCUGUGGACAGAUUUGUCUUGACUAUUUCAGAUGCUCCUUCCUGUUUCUUUCCAGGUAACAAAUGCCUCCCCUUCCAUCAAAGCUACUCUCCAACAGGAUUGAGAAUCAGCACUUUAUACACCAAAGUAAUAAAGAAUAACUUUCUGUGUACUUUUUAGGGAGAGGUAUUUGCACUUACACCUUGUUUCCCUCCCGAUAUCAUGUAGACCUUCCUGGAGUCAACGUGUCAAUGAAACGCACCCUCAGUUCUCCUUCCUGGUCAGUUUCUACUCAGCUGCUUGGCUAGUAUCCAUAUAGGAUUACAUACCUGAGCAGUGAUGGUUAUCAAUAAAUCACAAAGUAUAUCAUGCUAAGUGUC